rnacentral:rRNA from 1 species
CCUACGGGAGGCAGCAGUGGGGAAUAUUGGACAAUGGGGGCAACCCUGAUCCAGCCAUGCCGCGUGUGUGAAGAAGGCCCUCGGGUUGUAAAGCACUUUCAGUGAGGAAGAACGCCUGGUGGUUAAUACCCAUCAGGAAAGACAUCACUCACAGAAGAAGCACCGGCUAACUCCGUGCCAGCAGCCGCGGUAAUACGGAGGGUGCGAGCGUUAAUCGGAAUUACUGGGCGUAAAGCGCGCGUAGGUGGCUUGAUAAGCCGGUUGUGAAAGCCCCGGGCUCAACCUGGGAACGGCAUCCGGAACUGUCAAGCUAGAGUGCAGGAGAGGAAGGUAGAAUUCCCGGUGUAGCGGUGAAAUGCGUAGAGAUCGGGAGGAAUACCAGUGGCGAAGGCGGCCUUCUGGACUGAAACUGACACUGAGGUGCGAAAGCGUGGGUAGCAAACAGGAUUAGAUACCCCGGUAGUC